GACGAACGCUGGCGGCGUGCUUAACACAUGCAAGUCGAACGGAAAGGCCCUGCUUGCAGGGUACUCGAGUGGCGAACGGGUGAGUAACACGUGGGUGAUCUGCCCUGCACUUCGGGAUAAGCCUGGGAAACUGGGUCUAAUACCGGCUAGGAGCCAUUUUUAGUGUGAUGGUUGGAAAGUUUUUUCGGUGUAGGAUGAGCUCGCGGCCUAUCAGCUUGUUGGUGGGGUAAUGGCCUACCAAGGCGGCGACGGGUAGCCGGCCUGGGAGGGUGGACGGCCACAUUGGGACUGAGAUACGGCCCAGACUCCUACGGGAGGCAGCAGGGGGGAAGAUUGCACAAGGGGCGCAAGCCUGAUGCAGCGACGCCGCGUGGGGGAUGACGGCCUUCGGGUUGUAAACUCCUUUCGCUAGGGACGAAGCUUUUUGUGACGGUACCUAGAUAAGAAGCACCGGCUAACUACGUG
rnacentral:rRNA from 1 species